rnacentral:rRNA from 1 species
UGGGCCCGCGUUUUCAUUAGCUAGUUGGUGAGGUAACGGCUCACCAAGGCGACGAUGGGUAGCCGGCCUGAGAGGGUGAACGGCCACAUUGGAACUGAGACACGGUCUAGACUCCUACGGGAGGCAGCAGUGGGGAAUAUUGCACAAUGGGGGGAACCCUGAUGCGGCGAUGCCGCGUGAGCGAAGAAGGCUUUCGAGUCGUAAAGCUCUGUCCUAAGGGAAGAAAAAAAUGACGGUACCUUAGGAGGAAGUCCCGGCUAACUACGUGCCAGCAGCCGCGGUAAUACGUAGGGGACGAGCGUUAUCCGGAAUUAUUGGGCGUAAAGGGUGCGUAGGCGGCUCUAUAAGUCAGAUGUCAAAGGCUUUGGCUCAACCGAAGUAAGCAUUUGAAACUGUAGAGCUUGAGUGCAGGAGAGGAGAGUGGAAUUCCUAGUGUAGCGGUGAAAUGCGUAGAUAUUAGGAGGAACACCAGUGGCGAAGGCGACUCUCUGGACUGCAACUGACGCUGAGGCACGAAAGCGUGGGGAGCAAACAGGAUUAGAUACCCUGGUAGUCCACGCCGUAAACGAUGAACACUAA